rnacentral:rRNA from 1 species
UGGUGGAGUGAUUUGUCUGGUUAAUUCCGUUAACGAACGAGACCUCGACCUGCUAAAUAGUUUGGCGAACCUCCGGGUUCGUGCUGACUUCUCAGAGGGACUAUCGGUGUGUAGCCGAUGGAAGUUCGAGGCAAUAACA